rnacentral:piRNA from 1 species
UCACAUUCUAAAAAUGGAGACACUAGCCCU